UACAGAGGGUGCGAGCGUUAAUCGGAUUUACUGGGCGUAAAGCGUGCGUAGGCGGCUGAUUAAGUCGGAUGUGAAAUCCCUGAGCUUAACUUAGGAAUUGCAUUCGAUACUGGUCAGCUAGAGUAUGGGAGAGGAUGGUAGAAUUCCAGGUGUAGCGGUGAAAUGCGUAGAGAUCAGGAGGAACACCGAUGGCGAAGGCAGUGAUCUGGGCCAGUACUGACGCUGAGGAGCGAAAGCGUGGGUAGCAAACAGG
rnacentral:rRNA from 1 species